GGGCGUGUGGCUUAGGGGUAUAGCGCCUCAUUCGCAUUGAGGAGAUCCCCGGUUCGAUUCCGGGUUCGUCCA